AUUGAACGCUGGCGGCAUGCCUUACACAUGCAAGUCGAACGGCAGCGGACCUUCGGGUGCCGGCGAGUGGCGAACGGGUGAGUAAUAUAUCGGAACGUACCUUUCAGUGGGGGAUAACGUAGCGAAAGUUACGCUAAUACCGCAUAUUCUGUGAGCAGGAAAGCAGGGGGAUCGCAAGACCUUGCGCUGAUUGAGCGGCCGAUAUCAGAUUAGCUAGUUGGUGAGGUAAAGGCUCACCAAGGCGACGAUCUGUAGCGGGUCUGAGAGGAUGAUCCGCCACACUGGAACUGAGACACGGUCCAGACUCCUACGGGAGGCAGCAGUGGGGAAUUUUGGACAAUGGGCGCAAGCCUGAUCCAGCCAUGCCGCGUGAGUGAAG
rnacentral:rRNA from 1 species